rnacentral:rRNA from 1 species
GUGGGGAAUAUUGGACAAUGGGCGAAAGCCUGAUCCAGCCAUGCCGCGUGUGUGAAGAAGGUCUUCGGAUUGUAAAGCACUUUAAGUUGGGAGGAAGGGCAGUAAGUUAAUACCUUGCUGUUUUGACGUUACCGACAGAAUAAGCACCGGCUAACUUCGUGCCAGCAGCCGCGGUAAUACGAAGGGUGCAAGCGUUAAUCGGAAUUACUGGGCGUAAAGCGCGCGUAGGUGGUUUUGUAAGUUGGAGGUGAAAUCCCCGGGCUCAACCUGGGAACUGCCUCCAAAACUGCAUGACUAGAGUACGGUAGAGGGUAGUGGAAUUUCCUGUGUAGCGGUGAAAUGCGUAGAUAUAGGAAGGAACACCAGUGGCGAAGGCGACUACCUGGACUGACAUUGACGCUGAGGUGCGAAAGCUAGGGGAGCAAACGGGAUUAGAUACCCCUGUAGUCC